rnacentral:tRNA from 1 species
GCCUCCUUAGCUCAGUGGUAGAGCACUCGCCUUGUAAGCGAGCGGUCGACGGUUCGAACCCGUCAGGGGGCUCGA